rnacentral:rRNA from 1 species
UACGGGGGAUGCGAGCGUUAUCCGGAAUGAUUGGGCGUAAAGGGUCCGCAGGUGGCCCGGUCAGUCCGCUGUCAAAGCCUGGGGCUCAACCCUGGAAAGGCGGCGGAGACCACCGGGCUUGAGUCCGGUAGGGGCAGAGGGAAUUCCCGGUGGAGCGGUGAAAUGCGUAGAUAUCAGGAGGAACACCUGUGGCGAAGGCGGCUCACUGGACCAUAACUGACGCUGAUGCACGAAAGCUAGGGGAGCAAACAGG